rnacentral:rRNA from 1 species
AGCUCCAAUAGCAUAUAUUAAAGUUGCUGCAGUUAAAAAGCUCGUAGUUGGAAUUCUGCUGAAGAUAUCCGGUCUGCCCUCUGGGUGAGCAUCUGGCAUUGCCUCAGCAUCAGCUUGGAACCACUGCUGCACUUGACUGUGUGGUGUGGGGUCUAAGGACUUUACUUCGAGGAAAUCAGAGCGUUCCCACCAGGCCAAUGCCUUGAAUACACUAGCAUGGAAUAAUGUGAUAGGGCCUUGUCUUUAUCUUGUUGGUUUUAGAGAUGAGGUGAUGAUAGGUAGGAAUAGUUGGGGGCAUUUGUAUUCAACUGUCAGAGGUGAAAUUCUUGGAUUUGUUAAGGACACACAUGUGCGAAAGCAUUUGCCAAGGAUGUUUUCU